GAGAGAGGGAGGAGCAGUCGCGCGGCCCGAAAGGGAGUGAGGAAAGUCCGAACACCAUAGAGCAGGAUGCCGGUUAACGGCCGGGCGUCGUGAGGCGACGGAAAGUGCAGCAGAAAGUAUACCGCCUUCCUCGUGAAGGUAAGGGUGAAAUGGCGGGGUAAGAGCCCACCGCGUUUUCAGUAAUGAAAACGGCAUUGCAAACCCCAUCCGGUGCAAGAUCAAGAAGCGGUUUAAAAUUGCUCGUUUAUGACCGCGGGUAGAUCGCAAAGAGCAUUGCAGUAAUGUAAUGCCAAGAUUGAUGACUGCAUAAACAGGAUUCGGCUUAUAUCCCUCUCUCAAAC
rnacentral:RNase_P_RNA from 1 species